rnacentral:rRNA from 1 species
UACGUAGGGUGCGAGCGUUAAUCGGAAUUACUGGGCGUAAAGGGUGCGCAGGCGGUCUCGUAAGCUGGGUGUGAAAGCCCCGGGCUUAACCUGGGAAUGGCAUUCAGGACUGCGAGGCUUUGAGUGUGGCAGAGGGAGGUGGAAUUCCGACGUGUAGCAGUGAAAUGCGUAGAGAUGUGGAGGAACACCGAUGGCGAAGGACAGCCUCCUGGGCCAGCACUGACGCUCAUGCACGAAAGCGUGGGGAGCAAA